GAUGAACGCUGGCGGCGUGCCUAAUACAUGCAAGUCGAGCGAACGGACGAGGAGCUUGCUUCUCUGAUGUUAGCGGCGGACGGGUGAGUAACACGUGGAUAACCUACCUAUAAGACUGGGAUAACUUCGGGAAACCGGAGCUAAUACCGGAUAAUAUUUUGAACCGCAUGGUUCAAACGUGAAAGACGGUCUUGCUGUCACUUAUAGAUUGAUCCGCGCUGCAUUAGCUAGUUGGUAAGGUAACGGCAUACCAAGGCAACGAUGCAUAGCCGACCUGAGAGGGUGAUCGGCCACACUAGAACUGAGACACGGUCCAGACUCCUACGGGAGGCAGCAGUAGGGAAUCUUCCGCAAUGGGCGAAAGCCUGACGGAGCAACGCCGCGUGAGUGAUGAAGGUCUUCGGAUCGGAAAACUCUGUUAUUAGGGAAGAACAUAUGUGUAAGUAACUGUGCACAUCUUGACGGUACCUAAUCAGAAAGCCACGGCUAACUACGUG
rnacentral:rRNA from 1 species